rnacentral:rRNA from 1 species
CUGAUGCAGCCAUGCCGCGUGUGUGAAGAAGGCCUUCGGGUUGUAAAGCACUUUCAGCGAGGAGGAAAGGUCAGUAAGUAAUAUUUGCUGGCUGUGACGUUACUCGCAGAAGAAGCACCGGCUAAUUUAGUGC